rnacentral:rRNA from 1 species
UACGAAAAGGACUAGCGUUGUUCGGAAUUACUGAGCGUAAAGCGCACGUAGGCGGAUACUUAAGUCAGGGGUGAAAUCCCGGAGCUCAACCCCGGAACUGCCUUUGAUACUGGGUAUCUCGAGUCCGGAAGAGGUGAGUGGAAUUCCGAGUGUAGAGAUGAAAUUCGUAGAUAUUCGGAGGAACACCAGUGGCGAAGGCGGCUCACUGGUCCGGUACUGACGCUGAAGUGCGAAAGCAUGAGGAGCAAACAGG